rnacentral:pre_miRNA from 1 species
UUCAUACAAUUUUUUGUAUGAAGUUGGAACGUUUGCUUACGUUUGCCGCUAGGGGCGCUGUUCCAACUGCAUACAAAAUUGAGUUA